UGGGGAAUAUUGGACAAUGGACCGAGAGUCUGAUCCAGCAAUUCUGUGUGCACGAUGAAGUUUUUCGGAAUGUAAAGUGCUUUCAGUUGGGAAGAAAAAAAUGACGGUACCAACAGAAGAAGUGACGGCUAAAUACGUGCCAGCAGCCGCGGUAAUACGUAUGUCACAAGCGUUAUCCGGAUUUAUUUGGCGUAAAGCGCGUCUAGGUGGUUAUGUAAGUCUGAUGUGAAAAUGCAGGGCUCAACUCUGUAUUGCGUUGGAAACUGUAUAACUAGAGUACUGGAGAGGUAAGCGGAACUACAAGUGUAGAGGUGAAAUUCGUAGAUAUUUGUAGGAAUGUCGAUGGGGAAGCCAGCUUACUGGACAGAUACUGACGCUAAAGCGCGAAAGCGUGGGUAGCAAACAGG
rnacentral:rRNA from 1 species